CGACUUACCUGACAGGGGGAAUAUCAUGGUAGUAAGGUGGUUUCCCCAGGAUGAGUCUCUUCCAUUGCACUUUUCAUUUUGAGUUGACACCUGUCAUUUCUCCAAAUGUGGGGAACUCAAACGCAUAAUUUAUGGUAUUGGGGACUGCAUUCACUCAGUCUCCU